UACGUAGGGGGCAAGCGUUGUCCGGAAUCAUUGGGCGUAAAGCGCGUGUAGGCGGUUCGAUAAGUCUGCUGUGAAAGUCCAGGGCUCAACCCUGGGAUGCCGGUGGAUACUGUCGAGCUAGAGUACGGAAGAGGCGAGUGGAAUUCCCGGUGUAGCGGUGAAAUGCGCAGAUAUCGGGAGGAACACCAAUUGCGAAGGCAGCUCGCUGGGACGUCACUGACGCUAAGACGCGAAAGCGUGGGGAGCAAACAGG
rnacentral:rRNA from 1 species